CCCCGGCAUCCUUCCCUCCAAGAACUUCCCACCUUGCUCUUGGGGAGACUCGAACUCACAACCUCUCGGUUGAAAGUGGGGGUUGCUUACCAUCAGUAGUUAGUGAUUAUGAAAAGAAAAUUAGGAUAUUGAGGAUUGGAUUGGAAUAAAUCAAGAUCAUUCCUAACUAGGCUCGAAGAAAUAUUAAUCAAGUCCGCCCUUCUGUUCAUGGGCUAUAGAUUCUCUUUUUUUUUUUUUCAGGAGAGAUUCUCAAGUUAUAUACCUUAUACCUGAAUGGUCAGAGAAUCCCUGAACCUCAUGUGAUGGUUUGAUCCAAUUGCUUGUAACUCCAACUGAUGCUGAGCAACCAACUCCAUCAGCAUGACAUUUGAAGCAACGCGAUGGACCUACAAAAGUAGCCAAUGUCUUUAGAGAAAAAGCCAAACUAAGGACCACAUAAAGAACGAAAAGAAAAUGAUAAUACUAAUAAAGACACAUCUUCUCAUUUAUAUGAUAAGCAAAUAGCAAUUAGGCUUUCAUCUAAAUUUUAUUAUUGGUAAUCAAAUCAAAAUUCCAGUCAAAUAUGUCUAGAAGCAGAAUCAGGAGCACUGAGUGUUAACUUAGGCUGAAUGCCUCCAAGCAAUUUGAAUAGAGCGCUGAAUUCAUUCCAAUAACUUGAUAAAUAUUUUUUAUAAACAUAAACAAAUCAAAGUUCUUGAUAUCAUCGAAUUCUGAUUCUUUCUUUCAAGAGGUCCAGAAGAGAAACAAUGGUGCCACCCUUACCAAGCAAGAAUGUUUAAGCUCUCUAUGCGCAUUUGAAAGCCGGUCGUAGUCGGGGCAUUAAACAUCAAAUAAAGAUAUUUAAAAAAUGGUAAAAUAGUGGCUACAUCUUAUGCAGUAGCGGCUGACGGAGUUUUUGGUAUUCAACCACCCAUAACACUUUAAACAACAACUACCAGUGACUGCCCUUCUCUUUCUGGGUUUCAAGCAAUAAAAAAAUAAAUGAUAUACAAAAUUAUUUAUUCGCAGAUAAAUGCAACAGAAAUUAGAAACACAGUUUUGAGUUCUCACGUAUUCUUCUAAGCCCUCUUGAUUUGAAAGCAAAACUUAUCAGUUAGUGGAAUCAAAAUUAUAAUCUCAAGCUCUAACCACAGAAAAUACAACCAAAAAACCUGCCACUGAAGCAACCAAAGUGCAGUAAAAGCUCAAGGAAAGCAAAAAUACUCAUUAAACAGCAAAUCAGUAGGUUGUCCCACACCGAUUGAUGUGUGACCAUUGGUAAAUAGAAUUAAAAGCAACACUUUGACACCAGAAUAAAUGCCACCAAUAAGUCAGUAUAGUUAAGACAUACAACCACCAUUACAAUAGAAGUUAUUGCCAAAAAAUAAUACCUCCAUGACAAUACAAGAAACUCCUCAUCACAUACUGCUGAGUAUAUAAGAGAGGAAAUAAACCCAAAAAAAUCAAAUUUAUAGCUAAUGGAUGCUAAUUUUUUUUUUUUAAAGAAGUCAAGAAAUAUGAUAAUCUAAAUAAAAUGUCAACCCAACAAAAAAAUGAAGUGAAGAAACAGAAAUCAAAUCCUGUCAUCUAACAGACACAAAAAAAGAGGACUUUUUGGGUCUCUUUUAGAUCAAAAGCUACUGUGAUUGUAAAGUAAGAAGAGAAAAAAUAUUUAAGGACUUACUGAUGGAGAUUGAUGAUGAAGGCGUUGAGAUGAACAUGAAGAAAGAGACAGUCAAAGAAAAAGAGUAAAGAACUGUGUAAUUAAAUUAAAGAGAGCGCAAAACAUUAAUCGUAUCGAAGAUUUUUGGUCGCUCUGACCCCAAACUAGAGCGUGUCUCAGUUGAAGUCUGAUGAGUGGGUCAGUGGCGUUGGACACACGUUGAUUCGGAGGCUGGUCAUGUGCGGCUAAUAUGUACGCGUGACUUGUGUGUGGUUUCUUUUUUGACGGCUCUGAAUAUGUAUUUUAUUUUUAAAAAAUUAAAAGUUAUUGUAUAAAAGAAAAUUUUCACCCACGAAUUGUCAUAAAUUAUUUUUUAGACGUUGAUUGCUUUAAUUUUUUUUGCAAAAACUGAAACAAACAAUAUUUUUAAAAAUAUAAGGCCAUAAGAAGCCAAUUUAUAGUUGCGCACUAUAUUUAGGUUAGGUUUCAUUUUUAGUUCAACUUUUCGCGAGAUAUUUUAUACGUUAGAUCAAGUUAUUAACCGAUUACAAAUUUUAAUUACCAACAUAUCAUAUAAUGAAUUAAAAAUGAUGCAUGGUGUCGAUUUACAUUUAGAGUAUAGUUCAUAUACAAUUAUUCCAAUUUUAACAAUUGAACUUAAGAUUUUAUAUUUGUUUUUCCCCCACUGUAAUUGCUAUGUUAUGUUUUCGGAAUUCUUAGUAUUAUAGUUAUCUAGUCGCUAUUCUAUUUUGGCUAAAAAUUCUAAAUAUUAAAUGGCAAAACAUUUAAAAGUAGAAUAAUUGAUUAACCAUAAUUCGGUCAUUUACUUGAAUUUAAAUAUUUGCCAGUAUGAUGUCUGGAAUUGAAUGUUAUCACUGAUAUUCUUCUGGCCUUUGUCUUAAAUUAUAUGAGUAAAUGUUAGCAAUUAAUAUCAGGAAUUGAACAUACCAAUUACCAUUUGCGCAAUAUGUUGAGUUUAAUAUAUUUUAUCGGCCAAUAUUCAACCUUUAUUUUUGAUUGUUAUCUUCAACCCUUGAAUACAACUAAGUGUUAAAGACAUAAUUAAAUAGAUAAAUGUGUUUUUUGUCUAACAGCUUUAAGCUUUUGGAUGAGAUGGUCACACACUUUAACAUAGUACUAAAGCAACGCUCCUGAGUUCAACUCUCCACCCAGAGUUCGACUCUCCACCCAAUAUCCAUUCAUAUUAUCUAGUAAAAAAUAGGUUGAAUAAUCAAAUUUUAAAUAAUGGGUUAAAUAUGGAUAAGCACCAUAUUAUCCUCUUAGAAAUUGGAUAAUCAAUGGAUUAAAUUUUUAAACUUGCAAAGACUUAAAUUGGGGGAUUCUCAACAUUAGGAGAUUAUGAAUUCUCCCAAAAGUGAUUAUAUUCAAACAAACAUAGAUAAUAUGGAUAUUCAUAAUAUCCGUCAGUUAACCCAUUUUCUGUUUGUAUUAAAUAUGGCUCGAGUCAAAUAUUUUAUCGGUUUUGCAUUAUUUAUUUUCAAUUGGCCCAUAUCCUUUUCAACCAUCCGUUUGCCACCCCAUAAAUGAGACGGUCACACAUCUCAACAAUGAAGAAUCAAAGGCCAAAGUCUAACAAGAAUUGCCAAACUACUUCAACGAGCACAUGCUUGUCAACCAUUAAUUGAAACAAAAACAAAAAAGAUACAAUUUUUGUUUGUAAAUUGUAAUGACGCAAUUUGUUUGGAAAAGUCUAAUUCUUGUUGAUUAAGUUCACUUGUCAAAAUACACCCGUAAGCAUUUAAUUUUAUCGAAUUAAUCAAUAAAAUAACAUGGAAUAUAUUUUAAUAUAUCAGUCCAAAUAAAUAUUAUAUUCUAAUAUAAUUGGAUUAAUUAUGUAAGUCUAAUAUAUAAAGAGUUAAUAAAUAAGUCCAAAAUGUGUUGGGUUAACCCAUUUAAUUGGGCUACAACUGAUGUGCCCACUUCAUUAAGCUCAAAAUGUCAUCUUCCUAGUGUCACGAUCCAAACCGAAGGAUCACGAUCGGCACUGGUGCCUUACUCAACCGAGCACCAACGUAACAUGUCUUUCUUAUCGUACUAUCAUUGAUAGCUGGGCCAACAUGACCACCACUCCUAAUGUAUAACUAUAAUUGGGAAAAUAUAGUAUCAAUGAUCCAUCUUUCUUGAAACUUAAGUAUAUAUGGGCCAUCAAGGCCUCUGACAUACUAUACAAAAUGAACAUGUAUCUGCAAAGCCUUUACAAGUAUUUGAUAUCAAAUGCGAUAGGGUACCGGUCUACCCAUAAGUCUGUAGCAAAAUUCUCACAUGAUGGCUUAUAGACUGGACAGCACUCCGAAUGAGGUGGAGUCUUAUCGAUCCUUCGCUGAAUGCUAACCUCCUCUACUAUGAGGGCUCGUCAAACUAACUGUCUAUACAUACACGUAUGAAUGCAACGUCCCCAGCAAAGGACAUCAGUAUGAACAAUCUAUCGAGUAUGUGAUCGAGUCCAACCCGACACCACUAUAAAGUAGCAAGAACGGUCGAUGCAGCUUUUACCCGAAAAGGUCGGGAUCGAAUCCAAAGGGAGCUAGAAUGAUUGGGAAUUGGAUUCCUAUCUAAGAUAAUAGUGCGUAGUGCUUUUAAUUACACUUCCAAUCAUAAUUUUUUGUUUGUUACUUCUAAUUUUAUACUAUAUGAUGAAAUUAAGCUAAGUAUAAAUGCCUGUAACGUUUUUUAAAUGGUUAACGAGGCACUAGGGAAGUGGCUUUCUCCUAAGUGAAUACUUGACGGGUUCAAAAGCCUAAGGCAAAGUUGUUAUGUUGGGGAGUGCGAUAUAGCCAAUGCACGAAACUACUCACUCUAUACCUCCUGGUAGCUUGAAUGACUUUGCCCUAAUUGACUUUCUGAAGAUCAAUUGGUUUUCAAAAUUGUGCAAGCAAAAUAGGCUCAAGUCGGGUAUUAUUACUAUUUCUAGGUUUAACCCUUUAGUUGGGGUUAUCAAUCUCUUGAAUACACACCAAUUCCUUGUUGGACUGAUUUUCUUAGACUCAAGCCCUCAUUCUCAAGAAGAGCCCAAGUUAAAAAGGCACAAAUUAGUGUUUGUAACUACUAAAUCAACAUGAAAAAUACAAAUCAAUCCAAAUAUUAACCACCCAUAAACAUCUAAACCUUAAAACAAAAGACUCAUCAAAUACCCACACUAGGGUCAAGCUACAACCCUAGAUAAUGAGUCUAACUACUCAUAAUAACAGAAUAAAUCAUAUAUUGAAAUGAAGAAUAACUCAUAAAAUACAAUUACAAGCUAAGAUUAGAAGAUUCAAUGUUAAACUAGCUAUAAAAUUACUCAAAAUAGCUUAAAACAACCGUUUACGUGCUCUGCUAAGAUAAAUAUCCCCUAAAAAUCUAGAAAAGAAGUAUUAUGAAAGUCGAAUUUUCUAGACAAAAAUACCACUAGUGGAGGUACCCCAGUCCGCAAGAAAUGGACUGCAAACUCGAUGGGGCUUUUAGCUUCAAAUAUUUGUUCUCUAGAUCCCGGCACCGCGGACCGAAAUAAAUGGACCGUGGCUGCGGUGGGUUUACCGUUGCCGAACAAAAUGCACUGCAGUCAGCUGUGUUUUGAAACUUCAAAUCUUAGCUCUCUGAAUCCCUUCUCCGCGUUCCGCAACACAUGGAUUGCGGCGGCGAAGAAUCUACCGCGGACCGCAUUGUUUGAGCUUCCAAAGUUGCAUCCUCUCUGAACUUUUCCACCAUGGACCGCAUAAAUGCAUUGCGGUCGCUGUGGGUCUAUUGCUGCUGCGGUGGAUUUACUGUUGUAGUAGUACUUUAACUUGUUCUUGAUACUUGAGCAGGUUUUACUCAUUUUUGAGAUGCUUUUGACUUCCUUGUCACUUUUUGACCAAACACCGCAAACAAGCACAACAUGUAAGCUUUCGAGAUUACUUGUAUACAUUUUUAGUCCAAAACUCAGCAAAAAGAAGUAUAAAAUAGACUAAAAUCCCUAGUUAUCAACUCCCCCAAAGUUAGUCUUUGCUUUUUCUCAAGCAAACUAAGUAAGUCCCACCUCCUUAAGAAUAAAACCAAGAAACUUCAGCUGACCUAAAGUGACCUCAUCUAGCAUCAAUUAGGACUAACAAUUGCCCUUAAUUCAAAUGAAUCAUUAAUAACAUUCAACCUUUUUAAGCAUCAUGGUUUUAGUACAACACAGAUUGGCUUAACUCAUCAAGGAAACUCUUUCUGCUACUUUGGUCAUUAUAGAACCCAAACUCAUUCUCCUCACUCUUCCUUAAGCAAGACCUCACUUUUAGAUUGUAGCACUCAGAACGAAGAUUGUGGAAAACACACUCAUCUCUCUCAAAGAAAGGUUAAAAGUACGGCUCUAAGUACCAUAAGCUUGCCCCUUAUGUAAGUCACUACUAAUGUAAGCUUCACUCAACUCAAGAUCAUAUAGGGCUUUUGUGGGGAUACAAUGAAGGCUUUUGGUUCAGGAUAGGAAAUAUUUGGUCUAAGUAGAUUUCAUCUUCCCUUAAUUACUUCAUUUGCUUCAUUUUACAGUAUCAUAAUAUCAUAAUUACAGUCCAACAUCAUCAAAAUAAGGUUACCCCCUCAAAUGAAAGAGUAACUAGUUAUCCUCAAUAUUAACUAGCCAAAAAUAGCUCAAGAAUAAGAUAGAGUAAAGAAAACUUCCUAUUGGUCCUCUGUCUACAUGGAGUCAUAAGCCUGGGUCCCUGGGUCUUAUGAAUGCUCGGGAACCUGUGACUGAAUCGAUGUAACUUGUUCCUGCUCUGGGACCUGAGGCUACUCUGAGACCUGAGGCUAGCUAAAGGAAUCUCCCUGCGGGUCCUCCAACUCAAUCACUACAUCAUCUGUCUGGGGGAUCACUCUCCUCCUCUUUUGGUGCCCUCUCCAACUCCUGCUCCUGCUCAGUCUGAGCUGUUGGAGGUUGGUCAUGCAACAAUAGCUCCAACGGUAGAUGAUCAACAACCUUCAUCUUAUCCACUUCUACCCUCAACUCCUUCAUAGACUCCUUUGAGGCUCUAGUCUUUCGCAGCUUCUUUGUCUCCUUGGUCAGCUCCUUUAGUGACGUAUCAUGAGCACCUAGAAAAUCCAAAAUCAGCUGCUGGUUAUCCAGGAGAUUCUUAUGGUUGUCCAGAAGCUCCUUGAGAGUAUCCUCCACUGAAUCUGGAACCUGUGGUUAUGGAGGUACAGACUAAGCUGCCACCGAGCUAGAAAGCACAGACAACUUAGAAGUAGUUGACUGCAUCUAAUUGUUGAUACUUGCAAGUGUUUGGCUCAAAUGGUAGACAGUCAAUGGGUAGGCUGAGGAUGAUGGAAUAUCUGGAGUGGAGGUAGAUGGUCCAGAGGGAAUAUCUGGUGUGGCUGUGGGAGGCUGAGAAGAAGCGACUACUGCUACUACUGGCUCUUCAGACUGGCCCGUAGAAGCAGUGGCUUUGCCUUUAGUAUCUUUGCCUUCGGGGGUUGUAAUCAGCCUUUUUUAGGCUAUACCAUGAAAAGGGCAUUUUUGGUUUCACCUUCACGUCAAAAUUUCUUUUCUCCGCAUUCUGGUACUCAAAAUACAUUAUAAGGAAGUGUGAGAAGGGGUAUGAUCUAGCACCCUCAGGAGAAUUAUUCUGCUAAGCUUUUGUUUUUUACUUUUUCUUUUCCCUCCAAUUUGUUUCCCCUCUAAUUACUCCCACCUAAAUAUUAUAACUCUUCUCUGAUAUUCCCAGAAACGCCUAAAAAUUGUCUCAUUCUUAAAAAAGCUUUUGCAAUUUUCAUGGUGUAAGAAAACCUCCGCCUCUAGAAACCAAAAUUUUUGCCGAUUGAAAGGUAUGAUUUCUAUCUAUUUUUCUGUACUUCUAUGUCUUUUCUCUUAAUUUCUCUUUAUACACCUCUAUCUCUAUUUCUAUAUGUUAGGAUGUUGUCAGACUGAUUCAUGUUCAUGAAGUGAAGGAUGAAACUUUUUUUAUUGAUAAUUAUAAAUUUAAUUUGGUUUGCACUUUUUGCUUACUGAGAUAUUUAUGUUUGUGCUAUAUCUGUAGAUUCUAUGGUACUACUUCUCCCCCCCAAUUAUUUUAUACAAAUUCUCUCAAAAAUGCAAAUAUCAAAUUAAACUUCAGGUUAACACUUUUUUAUCAUUCUGAUGUGUCAAUAGUGAAUUUUAAUGGUGAAAAAAAUCUGAAACUUAAUUCCAUAGAAUUCAUGUGUCAAUUAAAGAUUCUUUAAAAAAACAGUAUUGGGUUGUUAGGUUUUUCACAUUUUGAUCAUUCUGAUGUGUCAAUAGUUUUCAUGAAUUCGUUUUGUAUAAUGCGGCUUAGUGUUUAAUUGGUGUUGAUUCAUUGGGAAAAAUUGCAUUAUAAUGAAUUUUAGUCAUAGUUUGCGAGCGGCCGUCUUAGGUGCUUCUUAAUGAUUAUGCAUAUGCGAAGUCGUUUUUGAGCCAGUUGAAUAUGCACAUUUAUGAGGUUUUGGACUGUCCAAAGCAUCCAAAAGUAUCCGUUCAUGGUUUGAAAUCAAAGACUUGUUUGAUAUUUCACCUGACUGUUUAAAACUCUUCAUGUCUGCUGCUGCGAUCUGGACAGUUGAUGGUGCGUCUGUACAGAUCUUUUCAGUCAGUUGCGUCUUUAAAUUGUUUGGAGUUCCCUUUUUACUGAUGUCCAGUUUUCAAUUUUCUUUACUGAAGUGCUAUCCCUCUUUGCACCUCCAUUCAAUGCAUCAGUAGCUUCAGCCUUUUCAACUACUUCAAUUGCAUCAUUCGUUUGAUCACACAAUCCUGCUUUGUUGUCCUGCACAGCUGAUACCCUCUGCCCGCUAGACUGCCCCUCACUGCUAGGACGAGGCAGAAUUUUUUGCUGCACAUUAUCAUCUCUUAAAGCUGGUAAGUUAACUCCAACUUCCUCCUCAUGUAUAAGUGUAUCAAAAGCAUUUUGAGUUAUGAUAGCUUUUGAGACAAUUUGUCGCACAACUGGGAAAGUUGACUGCUGCUGCAUAUUUUUGUCACGACCCGAACCCCAGUCGUGAUGGCGCCAAACACCUUGUAAGGCAAGCCCGACCAUUUAAACAUUUCCAGCCAAAAACAUUAAGUUAAUUACCAUUUUAAAGAUAAAAUCCCAGUUUAAAAUAGUAGAUAAUAAUGCGGAAAAUAAAAUCCCAAGUAAAUACAGCUAAAGGAUCCGGCGUUAGAAGUCUGAGCCUCUAAGUACAUUGAACAAUAUCCUAAACAUAUAAAAAUCUAGACAUGGAAGCAAAAGAUAGAUAAGAGGAGACAUUAGGUUCUGCGGACGCCAGCAUCUACUUGAUAACUCCGGAAUCGAUCCAAGCAACAAAGUUUGAAAUAGUAGAUAAUACUGCGGAAAACGAAAUCCCAAGUAAAUACAGCCAAAUGAUCCUGCAUCACAAGUCUGAGCCUAUAAGUAUUCUGAACAAUAUCCUAAACAUAGAAAAAAUCUAGACAUGGAAGCAAAAGAUAGAUAAGAGGAGACAUAAGGUUCUGCGGAUGCCAGCAGCUACCUUGAUAACUCUGGAACCGAUCCAGGCAAUAGAAAUAAGCACAGCUAAGCCUCCGGGAUCCCUGUAUUUGCACACAAGGUGCAAGAAGUAGAGUGAGUACUUCCAACUUAGUGACUAGUAGCAAUAAAUAAUAACUGAAUAUAAGAAAUCCGGUAAAAACACUAUACAGUUCUAUGUGCAACAGCAAGAACAGUAAAUAAGUACCGAACAGGGAGAAGAGUCUGAUAAAUACUUUCCUUUCCGUCCGACCAGUUAUUAACGCUGCUGCGACGCACAGCCCGAUCCAACCAUAUAUAUAUAUAUAUAUAUACACUACUGCGGCACGCAGCCCGAUCCAAUAUAAUAUAUAAAAUGAUGCGCUCACUAGGGGUGUGUACAGACUCCGGAGGGGCUCCUUCAGCCCAAGCGCUAAAAUACUGCAGUUUGCAGUCCGAUCAAUUGGGGCUCCUUCAGCCCAACUCCUAUCCUCGAGGCCUCUUGGCCUCCCUCUCCUCUCUCUCCUAACGGCGAGCCAUCUCAAUAUCGUGGGCUAUGUCCACCGCCUCCUCAAAGGUAUGACUCAGGACCCUCUCUCAAGUCAUCAGAAUACAAAUGGGAUAAAUGAGCCCGUCCACAAAUCGUCAGAUCCUCUCCUAAUCCGUCUGGACUAUCCACGUAGCAUGACGAUCUAACUCUGCAAAUAUCACCUCAUACUGCAUCACAGACAUAUCCCCAUGGCGAAGCAUCUCAAACUGCCUAUGUAACUCCUCCCUCUGCGACCGAGGUACCCACUUCUCCAAAAAGAUAGUGGAGAACUCCUGCCAAGAUAACGAUGCUGCAUCUACCAGCCUAUGCCUCUCAUAUGCCUCUCACCAGGUGAAGGAUGCUCUUGAGAACUGAAAAGUGGUAAACGAUACCCCACUAGUCUCCAAGAUCCUUGCAGUCCUGAGCAUGCGUCGACACUUGUCGAGAAACCCCUGGGCAUCCUCACCCGGAACACCGCUAAAAGUUGGAGGUGAAAGCGUGCUAAACCUCUCCAUACGACGCUGCUCGUCAUCUAGCAUCACUGGUACCCCAUCACUCUGAACUAGAACAACUGGAUGAACAGGGGCAACUGGCUUAACUGGUGGUGCCUCUGGGGUCUGCAAACCCUGUGCACCCUUCUCUGGAGUGCGAGCUGCGGGGGUCUGAUGACCACCCCGGUCUGGGAUAUAGCUGCGGUAGUAGUUGAGAUUGCCUGAGCCAGGCCGAUGCAAACUGAUAAGAUCUGAGCCAGGGCUUCCUGAAGACCCGGAAUCACAAUAGGCACUGUUAGUGCGUGAGCAGGUGCUACUGGAACCUCUACAGCUGGAGGCUGAUCCUGAACGGGGGCAACUAGUACGGCCCCUGCUGCUCUGCCUCGACCACGACCACGGCCGCGUCCCCGACCUCUAGUGGGUGGCAAUCGUGGUCGUCCGCCACGUCCGGUCGCACGGGUUCUCACUAUCUGCGAGAGAAUAAAAUACAGAAGUUUAGUCCUCAGAUCCACAAAGUUGCACGACAAGAAUUUCAAGAAUAUGAAGUUUUUCCUAAAGGUUUUGCAGCCUCCCGAGGAUAAGUACAGACGUCUCCGUACCGAUCCACGAGACUCUACUGAACCGGCUCAUGACUCACAGACCUGGUAACCUAGGCUCUGAUACCAACUUGUCACGAUCCGACCCAGGUUGUGAUGGCGCCAAACACCCUGUAAGGCAAGCCCGACCAUUUAUCAUUUCCAUACAAAAACAUUAAGUUAACUACUACUUUAAAGAUAAAAUCCCAUUUUGAAAUAGUAGAUAAUACUGUGGAAACGAAAUCCCAAGUAAAUACAGCCAAAGGAUCCGGCGUCACAAGUCUGAGCCUCUAAGUACUCUGAACAGUAUCCUAAACAUAGAAAAAAUCUAGACAUGGAAGCAAGAUAGAUAAGAGGAGACAUCAGGUUCUGUAGACGCCAGCAGCUACCUUGAUAACUCCGGAACCAAUCCAGGCAAUAGAAAUAAGCACAGCUAAGCCUCCGGGAUCCCUGUAUUUGCACACAAGGUGUAGGGAGUAGAGUGAGUACUUCCAACUCAGUGAGUAAUAGCAAUAAAUAAACAGCUAAGCCUCCGGGAUCCCUGUAUUUGCACACAAGGUGCAAGAAGUAGAGUGAGUACUUCCAACUUAGUGACUAGUAGCAAUAAAUAAUAACUGAAUAUAAGAAAUCCUGUAAAAACACUAUACAAUUCUAUUUGCAACAGCAAGAACAGUAAAUAAGUACCGAACAGGGAGAAGAAUCUGAUAAAUACUUUCCUUUCCGUCCGACCAGUUACUAAUGCUACUGUGGUGCGCAGCCCGAUCCAACCAUAUAUAUAUAUAUAUAUAUAUAUAUAUAUAUAUAUACUGUUGCAGCGCGCAGCCCGAUCCAAUAUAAUAUAUAAAAUGUUGCGCUCACUGGGGGUGUGUACAGACUCUGGAGGGGCUCCUUCAGCCCAAACGCUAAAAUACUGCGGUGUGCAGUCCGAUCCAUAUAAUAUAGUACUACGACGUGCAGUCCGAUCCAUAUAAUAUAAUACUGCAGCGUGUAGUCUGAUCCAUAUAAUAUAAUACUGCGGCGUGCAGCCCGACCCGAUAUAUAUGUAUAUAUAUCAAAUAGCCUCGCCAUAGGGUCCUUGUCCCCUCUCAGUCAAUAUAGACUUGUCCUCUCGGGCCCACUCAGCUAAGACAGGGUAUUCAACCUUAGGUAUUGCUCAUUUAUGGUGCAAGUUGCAAAGUCCGAUUUAUUUCAUGAUUUACAAGCAAAGUUAGGAAAGCUGGUAUGUGUCCAAUAGGUAAAGUGAGGUCAAACAUCUCAACAUGCUCCCUAGGAGUUCUACAGAUCGGCACAAGGCCCCAAACAUGGCAACUAGCCCAAAAUAUACGAGCACAAGCUCAUUCUCAGUCAAGAAGUACAGUAAGACACCAAUCGGGAUGGACCAAGUCCGACUCCCCAGCAGAUAUAUCACCAUGCUCAUCACGAGAUGCAUGUCUCAGCUCAACAUAGCACCGCAUAGUGCAAAUACGGGGUUUCUAACCCUCAGUAUAUCAUUCAUAGCCAUUACUCACCUCAAACCGGCCAAAAUCCUAGCUCGCCUUGCGCUUUCUUGCGAAUCGAUAUCCUCGGGUGCAAAUCUGACCAAAACCACAAGGAAUAUGUCAUAAUAGGCUAAUAGAAUAAAAAACAAUAGAAAGGACUCGAAAAGCACCCAAAAAUACGAAGUUGGCAAGACUCGAGCCCCGGGCUCACUUCUCAAAAAAUUACAAAAUUUACAUCUUCGGAAUCCUCGUCUUGCCAUGAGUCCGUAUAUAUAAAUUUCAUCAAAAUCGGAGUCCAAAUGGGCCAUCAAAUCCCUAAUUUUCAUUUCAAAAACCAAACUCUAGUUUCUUCAAUUUUCCCCCAUAUUUUCAGAGAAUUAAUGUAUGAUUCUUCAAUACAAUCACAUAAUUAGCUCAUAAAUCUUACCUCAAGUCAAAACCUAGGUGAAAUCCUCUUACUACCUCGUCCAAUAGCUCCAAAAUGUGCUCAACAAUGGUGGAAAUUGAUAUUAGCUCGCGGAUAAAAUGUUUAUAAACCCUUAUGUCCGCCCAGAAAAUCCCUUCAUCACGUUCGCGACUCUAGCCACGCGAACGCGAUGCUUUAUCUGAUCUAUCUCCCAGGCCCUCAUACGCAAAAGCGACCCUCACAACGCGAACGCGAUGGCCCACUCCCCUGGCCUACGUGAACGCGUCACCAUAUCACGCGAACACGAUCAAGAAGACUCCACUACUACGCGAUCGCGGCCUCUCCUUCGCUAACGCGAAGGCAAAAAUCCAGGCUCCCAGAUUCCCUCUACGCGUUCGCGUCCACCACCCCGCGAAAGCGAUGCCUUAUGGUCUGCAACACUUAUGAUAGAAAAAUAUGAUCUUUAUACAAGCUAAAAAUGAUCCGUUUGAACCUCUGAAAUCACCCCGAGGCCACGGGACCCCAACCAAAACCACCAAUCUACUCCAUAUCAUCAUACGAACAUGUCCGAAUCAUUAAAAACACAACCUUUAACACGAAAAUCAUCAAAUCAAGACGGAUUCAAGCCUAAGUUCAACUAUAACUUCCGAAUCUCACAUUCGACCAAAAACCCGACCAAACAACAUCCGAUUGACUUGAAAAUUUACACAGAUAUCCAAAAUCACGUAACAAAGCUACUGCAACCCUCAGAAUUCCAUUCUGACCCUCGGAUCAAAAUCUCACCUAUCAAUCGGAAUUCACCGAAAUUCAACUUAGCCAAUUCAAGCCAAAUUCUGCACCAGACCUCCAAAUUCAGUUCCGAUUUCACUCCCAAGUCAUAAAUCACCACUCGAAACUAGCGGAAUCAUCGGAGAUCUAUUCCGAUCCCUUUAAAUCAUAAGUCAACAUUCGAUUGACUUUUCCAAACUAGCCUUAUCUUAAAAAGACUAUUUGUCUCAAAUCCAACCAUUCUCUGACCGAAUCACUUCAAACUCUACAAAUACAUAUAUUGUAGCAUAAACCGGGAAAAACGGGACGGUAGCUCACGUGUCGAUGGGCCGGGUCAUCACAAGUUUUCAAUAACGGAGUGUUACCUUGCCUACUUGAAGAUCGCAUCACUUCAUUCCAGCUACCCUUAGUUUUUCUCUUUGUUAUCCCAUCAACUUUAGUAAAUGAUUUUGGGGAUACCUAGUGGCGGAUCUAGGAUUUUUGGUUCGUGGGUGCUUAAUUUUUUUUGACAAAAAAUAUUAUCAAUUACAUCAUAUAAAUGCAUAACUAUUUGAACACAGUGAUAAUAAACUACUGAGAAAACUCAUUCAGUAGUAUUAAUAUGGACAUCGUGGAACUAUGAUGAAUAACACAAUUGGUCUUCAAAAAGGAUCUAACUUCGGAUUCCUUUUUAAGUAGUUUUUCUUUCUUUACUAUAGUGAUUUACAACAACAACAACAACAACCCAGUAUAAUCCCACUUAGUGGGGUCUGGGGAGGGUAGUNNNNNNNNNNNNNNNNNNNNNNNNNNNNNNNNNNNNNNNNNNNNNNNNNNNNNNNNNNNNNNNNNNNNNNNNNNNNNNNNNNNNNNNNNNNNNNNNNNNNNNNNNNNNNNNNNNNNNNNNNNNNNNNNNNNNNNNNNNNNNNNNNNNNNNNNNNNNNNNNNNNNNNNNNNNNNNNNNNNNNNNNNNNNNNNNNNNNNNNNNNNNNNNNNNNNNNNNNNNNNNNNNNNNNNNNNNNNNNNNNNNNNNNNNNNNNNNNNNNNNNNNNNNNNNNNNNNNNNNNNNNNNNNNNNNNNNNNNNNNNNNNNNNNNNNNNNNNNNNNNNNNNNNNNNNNNNNNNNNNAACUUCCCACCUUGCUCUUGGGGAGACUCGAACUCACAACCUCUCGGUUGGAAGUGGGGGUUGCUUACCAUCAGAGCAACCCCUCUUGUCUUACUAUAGUGAUUUAGAUAAAGUAAAAUAAGUUGUAAGAAAAUGUAAACAAAAAGUCAGCAGAGAAAAUAAAGUCUUAGCAGCAUUAGAAUAGUGGCUACUGGAAAGAGCCAAAAAUGCCUAUUAAAAUGUUCUUGUUAUAAAAUUGAACUCCCGCUACCUACUUUCAUAACAUUUCAGCCUAUUUCUUGACCAAAGCACCAUCAAAGUUUUUGUUUCCUGGGUUCUUGUUAACGUUUCAUAUCCAUUUACAUAUAAAGUCUUGUUUCCAGUAAAUUAAAUAGCUCAUUGUGUUUUUUAUUGUUUUUUUUUCUCUUGUCUGAUGUUAAGUAGAGUAAUAACUGAUAAUCGAUGAAAAAAGACUUUAAUCUAUCUCCUAAGAGUCAGACACUGUGGAGCCUCAAAAUAGUAUUAAACUAGUUACUUUGCUUUGUCAGUAGUAAAAAAAAUAUCGUCUUAAAACAAAGGAAGUUCCAUAGAAUGUAGAUAUAGAAACUAAAGAUUAAGAAUACAAUAAACUAGAACCUGGUGUUAUAAUACAAAAUAAUAGUUUAAUAUGCAUUUUUUAUUGUUUUUAAUUUUUUCCCAGUCCUUAAAAUAUAGUGCAUUUUUAUUUUUGAAAUGACUUCUUUGAGCUAUAUAAUCAUGUUAAUAUCUCAUCAAUAACUAUAUUUUUUCUAGAACUACCAUUUAGGUUUAUUUCUCUUUUGCCCUAAAUUAUUUUUAUCUAUUAUUGAAAUUGCAGAAAAGAAAAAAAUUCCUUGAACAGUCAUAGACAAGCGUAGAAGUAAGAAAUGAAUAUAUUAUGAUAGAAUCAGUAAAGAAUAUUUGGAUGGAGUAGAGAAUUUUCUAAACUAUGCCUUUCGUGAAAGAGAAACAAUUUCAUGUCCUUGUUCACAAUGUGUGUUAUACUCUCAAGCAACUCGGGCAACUACAUAUGAUCAUCUUGUGGUUAAUGGUGUUAUGCCAUCACAUGAUACUUUAUAUUUUCAUGGGGAGUCUCUGAAUGAAUCAAAUGGUACUCAUUUAAAUAAUUACAGACAAUUAAAUAUAAGGGGUGAUGAUAUGAGAGGAAUGAUACAUGAUGCUUCUGGAGGCUUUACCCCAGUCUAUGGAAAGUGAUAUUAGUGAAACGGGUGAGAUGGAGCCAAACUCAGAAGAAAAUAAUACUAAUCCAUAUAUAAAUCAAUCUUAUCCAGAGGUGGAUAAGUUUGAACAACUCUUGAAGGAUUCAAAUGAAGAACUAUAUCCUGGAUGCAAGAAGUUUAAUAAACUUUCAUUUCUGCUGCAUCUCUACAAUAUGAAACGGUCAUUCAAAUGGACAAAUGAAUCUUUUAAUGCUUUGUUUGGACUAUUAAAAGAUGCACUGCCUGAGGGUGAAAAGUUGAAGUGGUGGGCUUAAAGUACAAAAAAAUCAUGCUUGUCCCAACGUUUGCAUGCUUUUUAGGAAUAAAUUUGCCAGUAAGGAUGUUAAUAAAUACUUAAUUUGUGGGGCUUCUAGAUGGAAAAAAAUUGAUAGAAAAAUCCCAGCCAAAGUCCUAAGGUAUUUUCCUUUAAAACCAAGACUACAAAUAUUAUUUAUGUGUUCAGAAACUUUUAAGCUUAUGCGGUGACAUCAUGAAGAACGCAACAAAGAUGGAGUUUUACGACAUCUUACAGAUUCUGAAGCUUGGAAAAGCUUCAAUAAUAAAUAUCCAAAAUUCACUAGAGAUCCCCGUAAUACUCGUCUAGGAUUAGCUUCUGAUGGAUUUAAUCCAUUUGGUACAAUGCGAACUGUUCAUAGUACAUGGCCAGUGAUUAUAAUGCCAUAUAAUAUGCCACCUUGGAUGUGCAUGAAGGAAGAGUUCUCUAUUUUGUCAUUACUUAUUCCUGGACCAAAAGGGCCUGGCAAUAACAUUGACGUCUUUCUGGAACCUUUAAUAGAAGAGUUAAUUAUGGGAUGUUGGGGUAGAAACAUAUGAUGUCUUUGCUAAGGAGACAUUUAAAAUGCGAGCAGCUCUCAUGUGGCUAUAAAUAAUUUUCCAGCAUAUGGUAAUCUCUCUAGAUGGUGCACUUAUAGUAAAUUUGCAUUCCCUUCUUGUAACAUAAACACUGAAUCUAGAAGACUCAAACAUGAAAAAAGAUUUUGUUAUAUGGGCCAUUGAUGUUUCUUGAAGCAUGCGCACAAAUAUCGAAAUGAUGCAAAGUCAUUUGAUGGUACUAAAGAAUCAAGACCUGCACCUUAUCCAGUAUCUGGAUCACAAGUUCUAAAUCAAGUUAGAGAUAAAAUUUACUCUCGGUCAAUCAAAUGAAGAUGUUAGCGGGGUGACGAAAAAUACAUGGAAGAAGAGAAGUAUUUCAAUUUUCCUUACUGGGAGUAUAACUUGGUGCGUCAUAAUCUUGAUGUGAUGCACAUAGAAAAAAAUGUGUGCGAUAACUUAAUUUAAAAAUUGUUGGGUCUUGGUAAAAAGUCGAAAGAUAACGUAGAAGCUCGAUUGAACUUGAAGGAGAUGAAAAUAAGGCCAAGCCUAUGGCCUCAAAAUCGAGCUAGUGGGAGGACAUACCUUCCUGCUACUUUUUUCACAAUGUCUCAAAUAGAAAAAAGGGUUAUUUUAUGAAGUACUACAAAACUCCAAGUUUCCACAUGGCCAUGCAUCUAAUAUAUCACGUUGCAUUCGCAAAAGAAAAAUAUCGGGGCUAAAAACUCAUGAUUGUCAUGUUAUAAUGCAAGAACUUCUUCCUCUUGCAUUGCGAAGGUCAACAGAUAAAAGAGUUAGUUUUGUGUUAAUUAAAUUAUGCACAUUUUUCGGGUUCUUUGUAGCAAAGUGCUUAAAAUAGAAGAGUUAGAGUUACUUGAAGAAAAAGUUGCAGUAACAUUGUCUAAUAUGGAAAAACUCUUCCUUCCAUCAUUCUUUACUACUAUGGUACACUUGGUCAUUCACUUGGCAACUGAGGCUAAACUUGCGGGGCCAGUG
rnacentral:lncRNA from 1 species